rnacentral:rRNA from 1 species
AUUGAACGCUGGCGGCAGGCCUAACACAUGCAAGUCGAACGAGUGGCGGACGGGUGAGUAAUGACUGGGAAACUGCCCGAUGGAGGGGGAUAACGACUGGAAACGGUAGCUAAUACCGCAUACCAUCGGAUGUGCCCAGAUGGGAUUAGCUAGGGGGUGGGGUAACGGCUUACCUAGGCGACGAUCCCUAGCUGGUCUGAGAGGAUGACCAGCCACACUGGAACUGAGACACGGUCCAGACUCCUACGGGAGGCAGCAGUGGGGAAUAUUGCACAAUGGGCGCAAGCCUGAUGCAGCCAUGCCGCGUGUAUGAAGAAGGCCUUCGGGUUGUAAAGUACUUUCAGCAGGGAGGCGUUACCCGCAGAAGAUGCACCGGCUAACUCCGUGCCAGCAGCCGCGGUAAUAC